UACGUAGGGUGCGAGCGUUAAUCGGAAUUACUGGGCGUAAAGCGUGCGCAGGCGGCGCGUUAAGACAGGUGUGAAAGCCCCGAGCUUAACUUGGGAAUUGCGCUUGUGACUGGCGUGCUGGAGUGUGGCAGAGGGAGGUGGAAUUCCACGUGUAGCAGUGAAAUGCGUAGAGAUGUGGAGGAACACCGAUGGCGAAGGCAGCUCGCUGGGACGGUACUGACGCUGAGGCGCGAAAGCGUGGGGAGCAAACAGG
rnacentral:rRNA from 1 species